GUUUGAUCCUGGCUCAGGAUGAACGCUAGCGGCAGGCUUAACACAUGCAAGUCGAGGGGUAUAGUUCUUCGGAACUAGAGACCGGCGCACGGGUGCGUAACGCGUAUGCAAUCUACCUUUUACAGAGGGAUAGCCCAGAGAAAUUUGGAUUAAUACCUCAUAGUAUAAUGAGUUGGCAUCAACACAUUAUUAAAGUCACAACGGUAAAAGAUGAGCAUGCGUCCCAUUAGCUUGUUGGUAAGGUAACGGCUUACCAAGGCAACGAUGGGUAGGGGUCCUGAGAGGGAGAUCCCCCACACUGGUACUGAGACACGGACCAGACUCCUACGGGAGGCAGCAGUGAGGAAUAUUGGACAAUGGGCGCAAGCCUGAUCCAGCCAUGCCGCGUGCAGGAUGACGGUCCUAUGGAUUGUAAACUGCUUUUGUACAGGAAGAAACACUGGUUCGUGAACCAGCUUGACGGUACUGUAAGAAUAAGGAUCGGCUAACUCCGUGCCAGCAGCCGCGGUAAUACGGAGGAUCCAAGCGUUAUCCGGAAUCAUUGGGUUUAAAGGGUCCGUAGGCGGUCAGAUAAGUCAGUGGUGAAAGCCCAUCGCUCAACGGUGGAACGGCCAUUGAUACUGUCUGACUUGAAUUAUUAGGAAGUAACUAGAAUAUGUAGUGUAGCGGUGAAAUGCUUAGAGAUUACAUGGAAUACCAAUUGCGAAGGCAGGUUACUACUAAUGGAUUGACGCUGAUGGACGAAAGCGUGGGUAGCGAACAGGAUUAGAUACCCUGGUAGUCCACGCCGUAAACGAUGGAUACUAGCUGUUGGGAGCAAUCUCAGUGGCUAAGCGAAAGUGAUAAGUAUCCCACCUGGGGAGUACGUUCGCAAGAAUGAAACUCAAAGGAAUUGACG
rnacentral:rRNA from 1 species